rnacentral:rRNA from 1 species
GACAGAGGGUGCAAACGUUGUUCGGAAUUACUGGGCGUAAAGCGCGUGUAGGCUGCUCCGCAAGUCGGGUGUGAAAGCCCUGGGCUCAACCUAGGAAGUGCACUCGAAACUUCGGAGCUGGAGUCCUGGAGAGGAAGGGCGGAAUUCUCGGUGUAGAGGUGAAAUUCGUAGAUAUCGAGAGGAACACCGGUGGCGAAGGCGGCCUUCUGGACAGUGACUGACGCUGAGACGCGAAAGCGUGGGGAGCAAACAGG